AGUAACGCGUGGGUAACCUGCCUCAUACAGGGGGAUAACAGUUAGAAAUGACUGCUAACACGCAUAAUAGUAGUGAAACCGUAUGAUUUUGCUAUCAAAUAUUUAUAGGUAUGAGAUGGGCCCGCGUCUGAUUAGCGUAGUUGGUGGGUAAAAGCCUACCAAGGCGACGAUCAGUAGCCGGCUUGAGAGAGUGACCGGCCACAUUGGGACUGAGACACGGCCCAAACUCCUACGGGAGGCAGCAGUGGGGAAUAUUGGACAAUGGGGAAACCCUGAUCCAGCGAACGCCGCGUGAGUGAAGAAGUAUUUCGGUAUGUAAAGCUCUAUCAGCAGGGAAGAUAAUGACAGUACCUGACUAAGAAGCCCCGGCUAACUACGUGCCAGCAGCCGC
rnacentral:rRNA from 1 species